GAGAACGGACUUCUUGAUAGAAUGAAGGGCAACGCUAACGUCCAUAAAUGGUCAAAGGAAACACUGAAGGAUACACAUCAGAAUUAUGGGGUUACACUCGCAUCAGCGUGGUGCAAAAUAAUCUCUAGGAGUUAAAGGAAAUAUGGGAUCAAUGGAGUAAUAAAGCCAAGUGGUUGUUCUACAAUAACUAAGGGGACUUGCAGUAUUUGCUUGACAGGAGGAUAGAUAAGCAAUUCAAAGUGAG
rnacentral:lncRNA from 1 species